rnacentral:rRNA from 1 species
AAGGCGUAGUCGAUGGGAAACGGGUUAAUAUUCCCGUACUUGGUGUUACUGCGAAGGGGGGACGGAGAAGGCUAUGUUGGCCGGGCGACGGUUGUCCCGGUUUAAGCGUGUAGGUGUGUGUUCCAGGUAAAUCCGGUUCACUUUAACACUGAGGCGUGACGACGAGGCACUACGGUGCUGAAGCAACAAAUGCCCUGCUUCCAGGAAAAGCCUCUAAGCAUCAGGUAACACGAAAUCGUACCCCAAACCGACACAGGUGGUCAGGUAGAGAAUACCAAGGCGCUUGAGAGAACUCGGGUGAAGGAACUAGGCAAAAUGGUGCCGUAACUUCGGGAGAAGGCACGCUGACACGUAGGUGAAGUGAUUUACUCAUGGAGCUGAAGUCAGUCGAAGAUACCAGCUGGCUGCAACUGUUUAUUAAAAACACAGCACUGUGCAAACACGAAAGUGGACGUAUAC